ACUACCCCGUAGACUCCCGGAGAAGCAAACCUCUUGGAAGUCAUCACCAUUUACCUCUACCCAGGGCUACGAUACUUUUGUACAAGGAACUUGGCACCGCUCCCGAAUCCCGACUCUGCCCAUUAUUUGAGUGAUCCACAAGGCCCUGUGAUCUGCUGAAAGCCAGGAUCUUGCUGUUUAUCAAGUUGAUCUUUAACCCCGGGGCUUCAUCCAUCCUGCUGCCUCAGCCUCCCAAGUAAUAGGGACUAUAAGAGAGGGGCAGGAAAUGAUUGGAGCGUAGGACUCAGAACUGGUUGCCUAAGCUUCUCCGAAUGACAAAGAGAACACAAGAAAAUUCAUUUAGCCAAACACUAAGCUCAAAUGUCCUCUACUACAAUUUGAGGAGAAAGCAGCCCAGGUUGGCCUCAAAUUUACUGCGUAACUGAGGCUGCCCCUGAAAUCCUGAUCCUCCCUAAAUUCUUCGUCUUCCUGACUUUGCCUCCCAAGAGCUAGGAUUUACAGGUAUGCAGCACCACGCCUGGAUUUUUCUUUGUUGUUUGUUUUGUUUUGUUCAGAAGAAGUAGAAUAGGGUAUGAUAUAGAACAGGCUAGCGUUGAACUCCUGAACUUGCUUCCUCCCAAGUGCUGGGAUUACAGAUGUGAGUCACUUCAAAGUCUAGAGAUUAUAUAUAAUCUCCCAGAUGUCCUGGAGCUAGAAAGAGAGGGUACAGAGGCAGGCAGGGGGAAAUGUGGCUGGUAGUGUCUGCCACUAAGUGGAGUUUAAAAGUAACCCUGGUCUCCGUGGUUACAAUCAUAGGCUACUCUUCCAGAGAGCAGGGAUUCACUUCCCAGCAUUCACAUGGUAGCUAACAGUCAUCUUUAACUUCAGUUUCAGGGGAUCCUAAGCCUUCUUCUGGCUUCCAUAGGCACUAGACACACACAUGGUCCACAAACAUAACAUGUAGGCAAAACAUCCAUACACAUGAAAAUAUAUAAAUAAUGUUUUUAAAAGAGUAAUCCAGCUGU